rnacentral:rRNA from 1 species
UGCAGUCGAGCGAACAGAUAAGGAGCUUGCUCCUUUGACGUUAGCGGCGGACGGGUGAGUAACACGUGGGUAACCUACCUAUAAGACUGGGAUAACUUCGGGAAACCGGAGCUAAUACCGGAUAAUAUUUCGAACCGCAUGGUUCGAUAGUGAAAGAUGGUUUUGCUAUCACUUAUAGAUGGACCCGCGCCGUAUUAGCUAGUUGGUAAGGUAACGGCUUACCAAGGCGACGAUACGUAGCCGACCUGAGAGGGUGAUCGGCCACACUGGAACUGAGACACGGUCCAGACUCCUACGGGAGGCAGCAGUAGGGAAUCUUCCGCAAUGGGCGAAAGCCUGACGGAGCAACGCCGCGUGAGUGAUGAAGGUCUUCGGAUCGUAAAACUCUGUUAUUAGGGAAGAACAUACGUGUAAGUAACUAUGCACGUCUUGACGGUACCUAAUCAGAAAGCCACGGCUAACUACGUGCCAGCAGCCGCGGUAAUACGUAGGUGGCAAGCGUUAUCCGGAAUUAUUGGGCGUAAAGCGCGCGUAGGCGGUUUUUUAAGUCUGAUGUGAAAGCCCACGGCUCAACCGUGGAGGGUCAUUGGAAACUGGAAAACUUGAGUGCAGAAGAGGAAAGUGGAAUUCCAUGUGUAGCGGUGAAAUGCGCAGAGAUAUGGAGGAACACCAGUGGCGAAGGCGACUUUCUGGUCUGUAACUGACGCUGAUGUGCGAAAGCGUGGGGAUC